ACCUCGCCACCUUGUGGCCACUCAGCGCAUGCGUCAGAGGAUCGUUUGCGCUUUUCCUCUCAGACACGCCCAGGGGCACCAGGUGUUCACCGGAGAACAGAAGAUGGCGUGGACAGUCAUUUAACAAGAAAGUUCAUGGAUUUGGAGCCACAUGGAAUAUUGAAGGACGUUGGCUCUCAGGAAUUUGGUCUCAACAGCUUACGCAGGAUCAAAUAAGAGUUCAGUAGGAUAACAACACUUCAUCUGGAGCAAACCUUUUUGUCAAAACUGGACACACACACUCCUAAACUCCUGGAGAUAUUUAGGACAAAGGGCGGAGUUGCAGACACAAAAAUCAGACCGAUGCUGGAUUCACUUGGCCAGCAAUAUGUUGAAGGCAGAAGAGAUCUCAUCAUACGUUGCCUAAUGGAGUUCCUUGGAGAGGAGCUAAUCAAAGACUGCCAGGCACAUUUUGAAAAUUUGGGAUUUUCUGAUGAUUAUUCUCACCAUAGUAAAUGUAUCUCUUCUCCAACAUAAUACUAUAACCUCUGUUCUUUGUGUAAUAAUGUAUUUCCAUAAAAGUCACAUGUGCCACUAUAUAUGAGGAAAAACAUUUGUAUUCAGAUUAACAAAUAUUAGGCCAUUAACUUAAAUUGGCAAUUAAUUGCAAUGUGUCCCACUUUUUCAACUGGUUCUGAAUCUGAAAUGUUUGAAAAGCAAAUGUUUUGAAAGUAUGAAAAAAUGUAUUUCAAACAACCUUCUGGAUAUUUUAGACAAUCUUGUUGAAAAAAAUGAUGGUUGCCUCAGUGACCCAAGUGUACACUGACAAAUGAAAGUGCAAACCUGGGUUAACCCACACAAAGAUCAUAUAAAAUAAAAUCAAUGGUUACCUAAAUACUUCCCCAGCACUUAACCAAUGCCGUGGUCUCUGUAUGUGUAGGUUAUAUGAACUGGCUGUGUAUAAUAUUGACUCCUGAGCACAGAAUCACGUGUUAUUCACAGGAUGUAGGUGCCUCAGUUCAUCAUGUCAUCAGUGGAAAUGCAGCACAGGAAGGCCACAAUCCUGCCCAUGUGUCAGUCAUCGUCGAAGGAAAAGAGGUUCUGGAUGACUGCAAAACCGUGGCAAAGGCUUGCCUUCUGCUCAUUGGCUUAAUCUACGCCAUGAACUUGAGUUACCCACUGAAACUGAAAUAUACAUUUGAAGUGUUUCAGAAGCUGUUUCUAGAGCUGGAUGUUCUGAAAAUGUCGCCCAAGGUACGGUCUUUGCGAAAUAAACUUCUACUGUGAGUGUUUCCACAGUGUACAUAUGCUGUUCUAGCAUAUAGCUGUUCUUUGUUGUGUGGAAGCAGUACAUGACGCUUGUCAAUGUAACUUGUUGAAAGAUUUUGCUGUUGUGCCUAAAAGUUACAAUUCAGGACAUUUUAUCGGUUUUUUUUUUACCUGUAAUUGUUCGCGUUAUUGUGAAUGUUCUAAAACAAAAAAUCACUGUUUUAUAAUGUUUUGUCUGGUAAUGUUGCUGGAAAAUGUAAUAAAAGUGCUCUUGUUUGAAA